rnacentral:misc_RNA from 1 species
GGAAAGUCGUAACAAGGUCUCCGUUGGUGAACCAGCGGAGGGAUCAUUACAGGACUCGCAAGACUCCUACAACCCUGUGAACUUAACUAUAAGCACGUUGCUUCGGCGGGUGUCUCGGAGGGGGUUCUCCCUCCCCGAGACGCUAAACCCGCCGGCAGCCUACUAUACUCUGUCUCUUUGCGUUGGCAUCUCGAGUACAAUCAAACAAGUUAAAACUUUCAACAACGGAUCUCUUGGUUCUG